GACGGGGGGUCCUAGCGUUGUUCGGAAUCAUUGGGCGUAAAGCGUGUGCAGGUGGCUUUGUAAGUUGGAUGUGAAAGCCUUGGGCUUAACCCAAGAAGGGCAUUCAAAACUACAAAGCUUGAGUAAGGAAGAGGGUCGUGGAAUUCAUGGUGUAGCAGUGAAAUGCGUAGAGAUCAUGAGGAAGACCAGUGGCGAAGGCGGGUCUCUGGACAGUUCCUGACACUGAGGCACGAAGGCCAGGGGAGCAAACGGG
rnacentral:rRNA from 1 species